rnacentral:lncRNA from 1 species
AUAAAUCAUCGGAUUUGGAGGACGUAAAUUUGUACAUAUUUGAUCACAGGCUGAUAUAAACGGAUCGCACUUUAGCAAAAAGGAGCCAGCGCAAUUACAGUACUGUAAAAAUGUUGCCUCUUCAUAAUUAUCUAAAAAAUCUCCCAGAAUAGCAUAUAGUUUUGGCUUCCUACCAAAAAACUGUAAAUUUCAAACGAAAUAAUUGUGUUAAUUUUAAUGCUGUACAUAUGUUGAGUAUAUUUAAAAGAAGAGGAGAAGUUGCACAAUUGUGAAAGCACUGGAAUCGGGAUGGUUCCUUUUUGCUAAAUGCGAUCAAAAUAUACGUAUCGCACCUACGUUCAGCUUGAAAGCUACUCACAGUCUGAACUUGGAGUCACCGUCGAGCAGGCGUCAUAAAAUGACGAAGUUGUGUAAACGGUUUACCAUUUUAAUCCUCUUCUCGGUCUUGACUUUGCUUGCGCUCUUUGUGGCACAGACCGAAGGAGCACCAUUUUGUGAUGCGAGCAAACGCGGUAAUUGCGACCCCCCACCACAUCCUGUCAAAGAAAGGCCUUGUAAGUGUGGUGAUGAAUGCGCGCGUGGGUGCAGUGGUUAAUGGAAUCUUUUUUGAAAAUGUCAUUUGCGUGACGACUUUCAACUACACAAUGAACUCCUAGAUUCUAUACCUCACUAUAUAACUUUUACGCAAACUUUUUUUGUAGUUGAGCUUUCAAUAAAUGUAAUUUUGAUCCUCAUUCAUGCUGUUUUAUUUGUCGCAGUCCACAGUUUAAAGAAACCAAAUUAAAAAUAAAGAACAACAAACAAAACCAAAAAGCACGGAUUUUCUUAAGAGCGUAUACCAAAUUACGUGUUCUCCC